rnacentral:rRNA from 1 species
CCUACGGGGGGCAGCAGUGGGGAAUAUUGCACAAUGGGGGAAACCCUGAUGCAGCGACGCCGCGUGAGUGAAGAAGUAAUUCGGUACGUAAAGCUCUAUCAGCAGGGAAGAAAAUGACGGUACCUGAGUAACAAGCCCCGGCUAACUACGUGACAGCAGCCGCGGUCAUACGUAGGGGGCAAGCGUUAUCCGGAUUUACUGGGUGAAAAGGGAGCGUAGACGGCAGUGCAAGUCUGGAGUGAAAGGCGGGGGCUCAACCCCCGGACGGCUCUGGAAACUGUACGGCUGGAGUGCAGGAGAGGUGAGUGGAAUUCCUAGUGUAGCGGUGAAAUGCGUAGAUAUUAGGAGGAACAGCAGUGGCGAAGGCGGCUUACUGGACUGUAACUGACGUUGAGGCUCGAAAGCGUGGGGAGCAAACAGGAUUAGAUACCCUAGUAGUC